rnacentral:rRNA from 1 species
CCAGCAGUCCCAGAUAUUAGUCAAUGCUCGAAAGAGUGAACUAGCUAACUGAAAUCAAUUAUAAAAUUGAUAACAUAAGGGAAAAUAAUGAUAUUACCUUAUUAUUAGUGUCGUCCAAAACUGGUGCCAGAAGACUCGGUAAGGCCAGAGACACAAACGUUAAUCGUCUUAAUCAGGCGUAAAGGGUUUGUAGGCGGCUUAAAAAUUUACUUAUACAAAUAAAUAAAUAAUAAGUAAAGAAUAAAAGCUAGAAUCAAAUAGAGGAUAUAUGAAAUAACGCUUAGAGUAGGUCUGAUAUCCUUAGAUACUAAGUAGAAUAUUAAAGGCGAAAGCUUUUUUCCAUUAAUGAUUGACGCUCAGAAACGAAGGUGAGGAUAGGAAAUAGGAUUUGAUACCCAGAAUACCCCUCUCUGUCAACGAUGAAUGGUAGUUAUUAGUAAAAUUUAUUAAUAGCAAUGUUAACACAAUAACCAUUCCGCCUUGUGAGUACAACUGCAAAGUUGAAAACAAAAAAAUUAGUCGGUUUCGGAGCAAACGAAGUGAAGCAUGUUAUUUAAUUCAAUAAUCCGCAA